CGGCCGACGGGUGAGUAACACGUGGGUAACCUACCUAUAAGACUGGGAUAACUUCGGGAAACCGGAGCUAAUACCGGAUAAUAUUUCGAACCGCAUGGUUCGAUAGUGAAAGAUGGCUUUGCUAUCACUUAUAGAUGGACCUGCGCCGUAUUAGCUAGUUGGUAAGGUAACGGCUUACCAAGGCAACGAUACGUAGCCGACCUGAGAGGGUGAUCGGCCACACUGGAACUGAGACACGGUCCAGACUCCUACGGGAGGCAGCAGUAGGGAAUCUUCCGCAAUGGGCGAAAGCCUGACGGAGCAACGCCGCGUGAGUGAUGAAGGUCUUCGGAUCGUAAAACUCUGUUAUUAGGGAAGAACAAACGUGUAAGUAACUGUGCACGUCUUGACGGUACCUAAUCAGAAAGCCACGGCUAACUACGUGCCAGCAGCCGCGGUAAUACGUAGGUGGCAAGCGUUAUCCGGAAUUAUUGGGCGUAAAGCGCGCGUAGGCGGUUUUUUAAGUCUGAUGUGAAAGCCCACGGCUCAACCGUGGAGGGUCAUUGGAAACUGGAAAACUUGAGUGCAGAAGAGGAAAGUGGAAUUCCAUGUGUAGCGGUGAAAUGCGCAGAGAUAUGGAGGAACACCAGUGGCGAAAGGCGACUUUCUGGUCU
rnacentral:rRNA from 1 species